rnacentral:rRNA from 1 species
GACGAACGCUGGCGGCGUGCUUAACACAUGCAAGUCGAACGGUAAGGCCCUUCGGGGUACACGAGUGGCGAACGGGUGAGUAACACGUGGGUGAUCUGCCCUGCACUUCGGGAUAAGCCUGGGAAACCGGGUCUAAUACCGGAUAGGACUCCGGACUGCAUGGUCUGGGGUGGAAAGCUUUUGCGGUGUGGGAUGGGCCCGCGGCCUAUCAGCUUGUUGGUGGGGUGAUGGCCUACCAAGGCGACGACGGUAGCCGGCCUGAGAGGGUGACCGGCCACACUGGGACUGAGAUACGGCCCAGACUCCUACGGGAGGCAGCAGUGGGGAAUAUUGCACAAUGGGCGCAAGCCUGAUGCAGCGACGCCGCGUGAGGGAUGACGGCCCUCGGGUUGUAAACCUCUUUCAGCACCGACGAAGCGCAAGUGACGGUAGGUGCAGAAGAAGGACCGGCCAACUACGUGCCAGCAGCCGCCGUAA